rnacentral:lncRNA from 1 species
GGUGGGGGGACCUAACAGACAAACAGGAUUAUAGUACUGUCUCUUUAAGCAUCAGGAUAUCUCUGUGGUGGGGGGACCUAACAGACAAACAGGAUUAUAGUACUGUCUCUUUAAGCAUCAGGAUACUCUGUGGUGGGGGGACCUAACAGACAAACAGGAUUAUAGUACUGUCUCUUUAAGCAUCAGGAUAUCUUCUUUGUGGUGGGGACCUAACAGACAAACAGGAUUAUAGUACUGUCUCUUUUAGCAUCAGGAUUCCUCUGUGGUGGGGGACCUAACGACAAACAGGAUUAUAGUACGUCUCUUUAAGCAUCAGGACAUCCUCUGUGGUGGGGGGACCUAACAGACAACGGAUUUAUGUACUGUCUCUUUAAGCAUCAGGAUAUCCUCUGUGUGGGGGGACCUACGAAAACAGGAUUAUAGUACUGUCUCUUUAAGCAUCAGGACAUCCUCUGUGGUGGGGGACCUAACAGACAAACCGUAUUAUAGUACUGUCUCUUUAAGCAUCAGGAUAUCCUCUGUGGUGGGGGGACCUAACAGACAAACAGGAUUAUAGUACUGUCUCUUUAAGCACCAGGAUAUCCUCUGUGGUGGGGGGACCUAACAGACAAACAGGAUUAGAGCUAUGUCUCGUUAGGCUUCCCAUUAACAAAGCCAGCUCUAGCCAGUUUCCUCCACUAGCGACUAUCGUUCAUUACACGACAAACCAACCAGGCGACCUGACCUUGGCCCUCGUUGGACACCUCUAGAAUAAAAGCCAAUGGUAUUGGGAUUUGCCCUGGAUUAAAUUGACAUAUUGGACAAGGAGAGAUUUAUGUCUACUGUCCUAAAUCUUAAACCCACUCCAGGCCAGGGUCUAAUGUUUUAUACUGUAGAAUUCACCAUCUCUCCAUGACAAAACACAGCCAAGGUUACUUCACAUCUGAAGACAGA